AAGGAGCGAGACUGUGAAGUGGAGCAAAUCUCAAAAAAUUGUCUCAGUUCGGAUUGCAGGCUGCAACUCGCCUGCAUGAAGUCGGAAUUGCUAGUAAUCGCGGAUCAGCAUGCCGCGGUGAAUACGUUCUCGGGCCUUGUACACACCGCCCGUCACACCAUGGGAGUCGGUAACACCCGAAGUCUGUAGCCUAACCGCAAGGGGGCGCGGCCGAAGGUGGGUUCGAUAAUUGGGGUGAAGUCGUAACAAGGUAUC
rnacentral:rRNA from 1 species